AAUGAACGCUGGCGGCGUGCUUAACACAUGCAAGUCGAACGAUGAAGCCUAGCUUGCUAGGUGGAUUAGUGGCGCACGGGUGAGUAAUAUAUAGAUAACGUGCCUCUUAGUCUGGGAUAGCCAUUGGAAACGAUGAUUAAUACUAGAUACUCCUUCUAACUCUAAUGUUAGUCGGGAAAGUUUUUCGCUAAGAGAUCGGUCUAUAUCCCAUCAGCUAGUUGGUAGUGUAAGAGACUACCAAGGCAAUGACGGGUAGCGGGUUUGAGAGGAUGAUCCGCCACACUGGUACUGAGACACGGACCAGACUCCUACGGGAGGCAGCAGUGAGGAAUAUUGCACAAUGGAGGAAACUCUGAUGCAGCAACGCCGCGUGGAGGAUGACGCAUUUCGGUGUGUAAACUCCUUUUAUAUGUCAAGAAAAUGACGGUAGCAUAUGAAUAAGCACCGGCUAACUCCGUG
rnacentral:rRNA from 1 species